CUAACCCUACACAUAAAAGGACAAAACGCUUCUGCUUCUUCACUCGGCUGAACUUGGGACCGGCUCCACAAAUCUCCUUCUUCUCUCUUCUACUAAAUCUCGAACGUAGGUUUCGAAAUACCAUUUUUCUUCAGCAACUAUCAAUGGAUGAAUGUUCUCUGCUAUCUGUCGCAAGAAUAUUCGAUCAACAACUGCUCUUCCAGACCUUGUACGCUGUCUUACGACCGAGUACGUGGGUUUCAGAUUGGUCCAGUAGAUCCGUCAUAGUUCGAUCUAAUUUUGAAGUUAAAAUUUCAUCACCACUGACUCUCUGAGAAUGAAUUCUCUCAUGCAGACCCGUACGAUGAACUUCGUAGGUUCUGACCAGCCAAACUCGGAGUGCUCUCCUUGUAUGCAGAGGGCAUUUCGAAAACAAUUUGGAGGAUUUUGGCACUACCUUUCGUUUGAGAAAUUGCGUGC